AUUGAACGCUGGCGGCAGGCCUAACACAUGCAAGUCGAGCGAGCGGCGGACGGGUGAGUAAUGCCUAGGAAUCUGCCUGGUAGUGGGGGAUAACGUCCGGAAACGGGCGCUAAUACCGCAUACCAUCAGAUGUGCCCAGAUGGGAUUAGCUUGUUGGUGGGGUAACGGCUCACCAAGGCGACGAUCCCUAGCUGGUCUGAGAGAAUGACCAGCCACACUGGAACUGAGCAACGGUCCCGAUGCUUACGGGAGCCAGCAGUGGGGAAUAUUGCACAAGGGGCGCAAGCCUGAUGCAGCCAGGCCGCGUGCAUGAAUAAGGCCUUCGGGUUGUAAAGUACUUUCAGCGGGGAGGCGUUACCCGCAGAAGAAGCACCGGCUAACUCUGUGCCAGCAGCUGCGGUAAUUC
rnacentral:rRNA from 1 species